GUGCUCACUUCAGCAGCACAUAUACUAAAAUUGGAACGAUACAGAGAAGAUUAGCAUGGUCCCUGGGCAAGGAUGACAUGCAAAUUUCAUGAAGCAUUCUAUAUUUUU